rnacentral:rRNA from 1 species
UACGUAGGCAGCAAGCGUUGUUCGGAGUUACUGGGCGUAAAGGGUGUGUAGGCGGUUCUUUAAGUUUGCUGUGAAAUCUCCCGGCUUAACCGGGAGGGUGCGGUGAAUACUGAGGGACUAGAGUACGGGAGAGGAAAGUGGAAUUCCUGGUGUAGCGGUGAAAUGCGUAGAUAUCAGGAGGAACACCGGUGGUGUAGACGGCUUUCUGGACCGUAACUGACGCUGGAGACACGAAAGCGUGGGUAGCGAACGGG